GUGACAAAUACAACUUUCAACAACGGAUCUCUUGGCUCUCGCAUCGAUGAAGAACGCAGCGAAAUGCGAUAAGUAAUGUGAAUUGCAGAAUUCAGUGAAUCAUCGAAUCUUUGAACGCACCUUGCGCUCCUUGGUAUUCCGAGGAGCAUGCCUGUUUG
rnacentral:rRNA from 1 species